GAGCCGCAGUGCUUUACGAUGCCGACCACAGUUUGGAAUUAGGGGAUACAGACAUUCUGAUGGCAAGGGUCAGGGAAUCUCCUAGGACACUGGAGGAAUACCAGGCCUGGGGCUAAGCAGCUCGUUUUUCCUUUUUGACACAAAGGAGGGGCUGGAGGCUUCUGAGCCAAGGCUCUGCUGGACUAGGGAUGGUGUUGCCAAUGAAUAGCAUGGAUUGGAAAAGACCAGACUGGAAGUGGGAGCCGGGCAACUAGGGAACUGGAACAAUAGGCCAAGCGGGGGGCCAGCGGUUGGCAACAGGGCCCAUGUGGCCCCAGGCAAUGUGAAGGCGGUCAGUAGGCAGGGAGGUGGGGUGGGAAAGGGAUCAGCUGGGGGAGGUAGGCAGAAAAGGCUCAGGUCCAAGUUCCAGGCCAUGCUAAGGCAACAAGUGUCACAGAGGUCCGUGGUGGGGCCGAGGAUGGACUGCAGACCCUAAAGGCCAAGUCCAACUUCCCUCUAUCGCUCCUCUGGGUGAAGAAUGCAUGUUUCCUCCAGAGUCUCAGAUUAGAUAGACAUCCUUUGACCUUGUCUAUCCAGUUCUGUUUCCCUCUUCUUCCCAUAGGGGUCUCCCUCCCUCCCCGUCCUUAAGUGGGGCGGGCACUUAGCCCAGGGUGGUGAUAUGACCCAGUCCUAUCCAAUCACCAUGGUCCCGCCUCCUGGCUACCACAAUUGGCUCAGGGAUGAGCACGUGGCCCAUAGCAGCCCAGUGAGAGUCAGCCCUGGGUGGGAACUGGUGGGAAAGAAUUCUGCUGGAGCAUCUGGAGUUGCUCAAAUGGAGUGGCUGUGGCCAUCUUUCCUUACACGUGGGGAGGAAUCAGCCUGAGAAUGAAACCAUCACAGGAAAGGGCUGAAAGACGGCAAGUUUUCACUGGGUCUUACCCGACGUGAGCCCCCACUCCUCCAUAUGGACCUGUUUUGGACCAAUGAGGCAUCCUCUUCUGUAGUCCUCAACACGCGGAGCUCCACCACUCCUGAGCAGUGUGACCUCAGGUGCUUGCUGCAGAGGCAUCGGGGGUCUCUGGCCAGAGGUGACAUCUGAAGCAAUCGGGAUCCUGUUUGGUUUUGCCACAUCCGACCUGCCGCCCAGCUGGGGCAAGACAGCCACGCGCGGCGGAUGCACCGGCCCUGAACUCUUUCUCGAGUAGUCCCCAGAGAUUUCAGGAAGAGAGAGAAGAGGUAAAGAGACCAGAAACAAAGUCUUCUGCAAGCAAAGAACUGCAACAGGCCCCAGCUGUUAGGUUUGAGGGGCGUAUGGGGCAGGCGACUGAACUGCAGAGUUGGAGCCAGAGGUACCAUUGCUGACCCCUGAGCCCAGGAGCCUUGAGAAUACUGACAGUGUUAAUAAUAACUGCAAUCAUCCAACAUAUGAUGCUAGAAUAACUGGACAUCUGUGUGCAAAAAUAUUAAACCUAUACCUUGCACCUUA
rnacentral:lncRNA from 1 species